AUACGUAGGGGACAAGCGUUGUCCGGAAUGACUGGGCGUAAAGGGCGCGUAGGCGGUCUAUUAAGUCUGAUGUGAAAGGUACCGGCUCAACCGGUGAAGUGCAUUGGAAACUGGUAGACUUGAGUAUUGGAGAGGCAAGUGGAAUUCCUAGUGUAGCGGUGAAAUGCGUAGAUAUUAGGAGGACCACCAGUGGCGAAGGCGGCUUGCUGGACAAAUACUGACGCUGAGGUGCGAAAGCGUGGGGAGCGAACAGGAUUAGAUACCCUGGUAGUCCACGCCGUAAACGAUGAAUGCUAGGUGUUGGGGAAACUCAGUGCCGCAGUUAACACAAUAAGCAUUCCGCCUGGGGAGUACGACCGCAAGGUUGAAACUCAAAUGAAUUGACGGGG
rnacentral:rRNA from 1 species